AGCGUACACGGUGGAUGCCCUGGCAGUCAGAGGCGAUGAAGGACGUGCUAAUCUGCGAUAAGCGUCGGUAAGGUGAUAUGAACCGUUAUAACCGGCGAUUUCCGAAUGGGGAAACCCAGUGUGUUUCGACACACUAUCAUUAACUGAAUCCAUAGGUUAAUGAGGCGAACCGGGGGAACUGAAACAUCUAAGUACCCCGAGGAAAAGAAAUCAACCGAGAUUCCCCCAGUAGCGGCGAGCGAACGGGGAGCAGCCCAGAGCCUGAAUCAGUGUGUGUGUUAGUGGAAGCGUCUGGAAAGGCGCGCGAUACAGGGUGACAGCCCCGUACACAAAAAUGCACAUGCUGUGAGCUCGAUGAGUAGGGCGGGACACGUGGUAUCCUGUCUGAAUAUGGGGGGACCAUCCUCCAAGGCUAAAUACUCCUGACUGACCGAUAGUGAACCAGUACCGUGAGGGAAAGGCGAAAAGAACCCCGGCGAGGGGAGUGAAAAAGAACCUGAAACCGUGUACGUACAAGCAGUGGGAGCACAGAGCAAUCUGUGUGACUGCGUACCUUUUGUAUAAUGGGUCAGCGACUUAUAUUCUGUAGCAAGGUUAACCGAAUAGGGGAGCCGAAGGGAAACCGAGUCUUAACUGGGCGUUAAGUUGCAGGGUAUAGACCCGAAACCCGGUGAUCUAGCCAUGGGCAGGUUGAAGGUUGGGUAACACUAACUGGAGGACCGAACCGACUAAUGUUGAAAAAUUAGCGGAUGACUUGUGGCUGGGGGUGAAAGGCCAAUCAAACCGGGAGAUAGCUGGUUCUCCCCGAAAGCUAUUUAGGUAGCGCCUCGUGAAUUCAUCUCCGGGGGUAGAGCACUGUUUCGGCAAGGGGGUCAUCCCGACUUACCAACCCGAUGCAAACUGCGAAUACCGGAGAAUGUUAUCACGGGAGACACACGGCGGGUGCUAACGUCCGUCGUGAAGAGGGAAACAACCCAGACCGCCAGCUAAGGUCCCAAAGUCAUGGUUAAGUGGGAAACGAUGUGGGAAGGCCCAGACAGCCAGGAUGUUGGCUUAGAAGCAGCCAUCAUUUAAAGAAAGCGUAAUAGCUCACUGGUCGAGUCGGCCUGCGCGGAAGAUGUAACGGGGCUAAACCAUGCACCGAAGCUGCGGCAGCGACGCUUAUGCGUUGUUGGGUAGGGGAGCGUUCUGUAAGCCUGUGAAGGUGUGCUGUGAGGCAUGCUGGAGGUAUCAGAAGUGCGAAUGCUGACAUAAGUAACGAUAAAGCGGGUGAAAAGCCCGCUCGCCGGAAGACCAAGGGUUCCUGUCCAACGUUAAUCGGGGCAGGGUGAGUCGACCCCUAAGGCGAGGCCGAAAGGCGUAGUCGAUGGGAAACAGGUUAAUAUUCCUGUACUUGGUGUUACUGCGAAGGGGGGACGGAGAAGGCUAUGUUGGCCGGGCGACGGUUGUCCCGGUUUAAGCGUGUAGGCUGGUUUUCCAGGCAAAUCCGGAAAAUCAAGGCUGAGGCGUGAUGACGAGGCACUACGGUGCUGAAGCAACAAAUGCCCUGCUUCCAGGAAAAGCCUCUAAGCAUCAGGUAACAUCAAAUCGUACCCCAAACCGACACAGGUGGUCAGGUAGAGAAUACCAAGGCGCUUGAGAGAACUCGGGUGAAGGAACUAGGCAAAAUGGUGCCGUAACUUCGGGAGAAGGCACGCUGAUAUGUAGGUGAGGUCCCUCGCGGAUGGAGCUGAAAUCAGUCGAAGAUACCAGCUGGCUGCAACUGUUUAUUAAAAACACAGCACUGUGCAAACACGAAAGUGGACGUAUACGGUGUGACGCCUGCCCGGUGCCGGAAGGUUAAUUGAUGGGGUUAGCGGUAACGCGAAGCUCUUGAUCGAAGCCCCGGUAAACGGCGGCCGUAACUAUAACGGUCCUAAGGUAGCGAAAUUCCUUGUCGGGUAAGUUCCGACCUGCACGAAUGGCGUAAUGAUGGCCAGGCUGUCUCCACCCGAGACUCAGUGAAAUUGAACUCGCUGUGAAGAUGCAGUGUACCCGCGGCAAGACGGAAAGACCCCGUGAACCUUUACUAUAGCUUGACACUGAACAUUGAGCCUUGAUGUGUAGGAUAGGUGGGAGGCUUAGAAGUGUGGACGCCAGUCUGCAUGGAGCCGACCUUGAAAUACCACCCUUUAAUGUUUGAUGUUCUAACGUUGACCCGUAAUCCGGGUUGCGGACAGUGUCUGGUGGGUAGUUUGACUGGGGCGGUCUCCUCCUAAAGAGUAACGGAGGAGCACGAAGGUUGGCUAAUCCUGGUCGGACAUCAGGAGGUUAGUGCAAUGGCAUAAGCCAGCUUGACUGCGAGCGUGACGGCGCGAGCAGGUGCGAAAGCAGGUCAUAGUGAUCCGGUGGUUCUGAAUGGAAGGGCCAUCGCUCAACGGAUAAAAGGUACUCCGGGGAUAACAGGCUGAUACCGCCCAAGAGUUCAUAUCGACGGCGGUGUUUGGCACCUCGAUGUCGGCUCAUCACAUCCUGGGGCUGAAGUAGGUCCCAAGGGUAUGGCUGUUCGCCAUUUAAAGUGGUACGCGAGCUGGGUUUAGAACGUCGUGAGACAGUUCGGUCCCUAUCUGCCGUGGGCGCUGGAGAACUGAGGGGGGCUGCUCCUAGUACGAGAGGACCGGAGUGGACGCAUCACUGGUGUUCGGGUUGUCAUGCCAAUGGCACUGCCCGGUAGCUAAAUGCGGAAGAGAUAAGUGCUGAAAGCAUCUAAGCACGAAACUUGCCCCGAGAUGAGUUCUCCCUGACUCCUUGA
rnacentral:rRNA from 1 species